GACGAACGCUGGCGGCGUGCUUAACACAUGCAAGUCGAACGGAAAGGCCCCUUUGGGGGUCCUCGAGUGGCGAACGGGUGAGUAACACGUGAGUAACCUGCCCUUGACUUCGGGAUAACUUCAGGAAACUGGGGCUAAUACCGGAUAGGAAUCCUUGCUGCAUGGUGGGGGUUGGAAAGCUUCGGCGGUUUUGGAUGGACUCGCGGCUUAUCAGCUUGUUGGUGGGGUAGUGGCUUACCAAGGCUUUGACGGGUAGCCGGCCUGAGAGGGCGACCGGCCACAUUGGGACUGAGAUACGGCCCAGACGCCGACGGGAGGCAGCAGUGGGGAAUAUUGCACAAGGGGCGGAAGCCGGAUGCAGCAACGCCGCGGGCGGGAUGACGGCCUUCGGGUUGGAAACCGCUUUCAGCAGGGGCGAAGCUUGUGGUGACGGUACCUGCAGAAGAAGCACCGGCUAACUACGUG
rnacentral:rRNA from 1 species